GUGGGGAAUAUUGCACAAUGGGCGCAAGCCUGAUGCAGCCAUGCCGCGUGUAUGAAGAAGGCCUUCGGGUUGUAAAGUACUUUCAGUCGGGAGGAAGGUGGUAAGGUUAAUAACCUUAUCAAUUGACGUUACCGACAGAAGAAGCACCGGCUAACUCCGUGCCAGCAGCCGCGGUAAUACGGAGGGUGCAAGCGUUAAUCGGAAUUACUGGGCGUAAAGCGCACGCAGGCGGUUGAUUGAGUCAGAUGUGAAAUCCCCGGGCUUAACCCGGGAAUUGCAUCUGAUACUGGUCAGCUAGAGUCUUGUAGAGGGGGGUAGAAUUCCAUGUGUAGCGGUGAAAUGCGUAGAGAUGUGGAGGAAUACCGGUGGCGAAGGCGGCCCCCUGGACAAAGACUGACGCUCAGGUGCGAAAGCGUGGGGAGCAAACAGGAUUAGAAACCCCAGUAGUCC
rnacentral:rRNA from 1 species